ACUAUGCUUAGCCGUAAACAUUGAUAGUACAGUACAUCUACUAUCCGCCCGGGUACUACGAGCACCAGCUUAAAACCCAAAGGACUUGGCGGUGCUUUAGAUCCA
rnacentral:rRNA from 1 species